rnacentral:rRNA from 1 species
UACGAAGGGGGCUAGCGUUGCUCGGAAUCACUGGGCGUAAAGGGUGCGUAGGCGGGUCUUUAAGUCAGAGGUGAAAUCCUGGAGCUCAACUCCAGAACUGCCUUUGAUACUGAGGGUCUUGAGUAUGACAGAGGUGAGUGGAACUGCGAGUGUAGAGGUGAAAAUUCGUAGAUAUUCGCAAGAACACCAGUGGCGAAGGCGGCUCACUGGGUCAUUACUGACGCUGAGGCACGAAAGCGUGGGGAGCAAACAGG